rnacentral:lncRNA from 1 species
GGUUCCAAAAGAAACUAUUUCUAUUAAUCCUAAAGGAUCCAAGAUGACUUGGAUACCUAAAAUCAUUUCUUGAUUUCUUCUUAUAGGUAUGUAUUGUAGUUGAGGGAAAGAAAGAAAAAUAGUAUCUUGAUAGUAGUUGCUUAAGGCAUAUGAUGGAUGAUAGGUAAGUAAUUUGUCAUGCUUGAGGCUAAGGAAGGAAGAGUGGUAAUCUUU